AACUUUCAGCAUUGGAUGUCUAGGUUCCCACAACGAUGAAGAACGCAGCGAAAUGCAAUACGUAAUGCAAAUUGCAAGACCUAACGCACAUUGCUUUCGGGAUUUUCCAGGUAGCAUGCUUGUCUGAGUGUCU
rnacentral:rRNA from 1 species